GAUGAACGCUGGCGGCGUGCCUAAUACAUGCAAGUAGAACGCUGAAGCUUGGUGCUUGCACCGAGCGGAUGAGUUGCGAACGGGUGAGUAACGCGUAGGUAACCUGCCUCUUAGCGGGGGAUAACUAUUGGAAACGAUAGCUAAUACCGCAUAAAAGUCGAUAUCGCAUGAUAUUGAUUUGAAAGGUGCAAAUGCAUCACUAAGAGAUGGACCUGCGUUGUAUUAGCUAGUUGGUGAGGUAACGGCUCACCAAGGCGACGAUACAUAGCCGACCUGAGAGGGUGAUCGGCCACACUGGGACUGAGACACGGCCCAGACUCCUACGGGAGGCAGCAGUAGGGAAUCUUCGGCAAUGGGGGCAACCCUGACCGAGCAACGCCGCGUGAGUGAAGAAGGUUUUCGGAUUGUAAAGCUCUGUUGUAAGAGAAGAACGAGUGUGAGAGUGGAAAGUUCACACUGUGACGGUAACUUACCAGAAAGGGACGGCUAACUACGUG
rnacentral:rRNA from 1 species